rnacentral:rRNA from 1 species
AAUAUUGGACAAUGGGCGCAAGCCUGAUCCAGCCAUGCCGCGUGUGUGAAGAAGGCCUUUUGGUUGUAAAGCACUUUAAGCGAGGAGGAGGCUCCUUUAGUUAAUACCUAAAGUGAGUGGACGUUACUCGCAGAAUAAGCACCGGCUAACUCUGUGCCAGCAGCCGCGGUAAUACAGAGGGUGCGAGCGUUAAUCGGAUUUACUGGGCGUAAAGCGUGCGUAGGCGGCUUUUUAAGUCGGAUGUGAAAUCCCUGAGCUUAACUUAGGAAUUGCAUUCGAUACUGGAGAGCUAGAGUAUGGGAGAGGAUGGUAGAAUUCCAGGUGUAGCGGUGAAAUGCGUAGAGAUCUGGAGGNAANUACCGAUGGCGAAGGCGGCCAUCUGGCCUAAUACUGACGCUGAGGUACGAAAGCAUGGGGAGCAAACAGGAUUAGAUACCCUGGUAGUCCAUGCCGUAAACGAUGUCUGCUAGCCGUUGGGGCCUUUGAGGCUUUAGUGGCGCAGCUAACGCGAUAAGUAGACCGCCUGGGGAGUACGGUCNNGCANAGACNUANAAACUCAAAUGAAUUGACGGGGGCCCGCACAAGCGGUGGAGCAUGUGGUUUAAUUCGAUGCAACGCGAAGAACCUUACCUGGCCUUGACAUACUAAGAACUUUCCAGAGAUGGAUUGGUGCCUUCGGGAACUUAGAUACAGGUGCUGCAUGGCUGUCGUCAGCUCGUGUCGUGAGAUGUUGGGUUAAGUCCCGCAACGAGCGCAACCCUUUUCCUUAUUUGCCAUCGGGUAAUGCCGGGAACUUUAAGGAUACUGCCAGUGACAAACUGGAGGAAGGCGGGGACGACGUCAAGUCAUCAUGGCCCUUACGGCCAGGGCUACACACGUGCUACAAUGGUCGGUACAAAGGGUUGCUACCUCGCGAGAGGAUGCUAAUCUCAAAAAGCCGAUCGUAGUCCGGAUCGCAGUCUGCAACUCGACUGCGUG